UAUCUCUGUAGAGUCUGCAUAUCAAUAAGCGGAGGAAAAGAAACUAACUAGGAUUCCCUUAGUAACGGCGAGUGAAGCGGGAAGAGCUCAAAUUUGAAAUCUUACAAGGUUUUACCUUGACGAAUUGUAGUUUAAAGAAGUGUUUUCUGUUGGUAGUUUUGGUAAAAGUUCUUUGGAAUAGGACAUCAUAGAGGGUGAGAAUCCCGUAUUUGACCAUUACUUCCAGCUUUGUGAUACACUUUCAAAGAGUCGGAUUGUUUGGGAAUGCAGUCCAAAAUGGGUGGUAAAUUUCAUCUAAAGCUAAAUAUUGGCGAGAGACCGAUAGCGAACAAGUACCGUGAGGGAAAGAUGAAAAGAACUUUGAAAAGAGAGUUAAACAGUACGUGAAAUUGUCAAAAGGGAAGCGUUUGACACCAGUGUUGUUUUCUCGAAAAUCAAUUAAAAAGUGUUGGAUUUUGUAUUGUUAAGACCUUAUCAGCUUACUGUACUCUUUUCCUGCUCUUUUUAAUGCACUUUUCGUUUAACAAGUCAACAUCAAUUUCUUUUGUUGUAAAAGAGUCAUUGGAAGGUGGCUUUCACUUCGGUGAAAGUGUUUAUAGCCUUUGGCUUCUGCAAUCGGAGAGAUUGAGGUCUGCAGCGUAGAUCCUUCGGGGUUAGAUACGUAGAUGCUAAGUUAUAGUUUUUUAUAGACAACUUGUUGACUAUAAUUAAUCAUGUAGCUUACUCGUUUGCGCUAUUUUACCUACGCUUAGGAUGUUGAGUCAUCACACAUCUCU
rnacentral:rRNA from 1 species